CAAUAAGUAGUUUAUUUAAAAUACUAAUUUUGGAGAUUAGUGAUGGGUGGAAAAUCCCUUAUUGA
rnacentral:tRNA from 1 species